UUAAUAAAUGUUGUUGGGACAACUGGCUAGUCAUAUACUGAGGAAUGAAACUGGACCCCUUCCUUUCACCAAAUACAAAAAUUAACUCAAGAUGUAUUAAAGACCUAAAUG